CCUACGGGUGGCUGCAGUGGGGAAUAUUGCGCAAUGGGCGAAAGCCUGACGCAGCAACGCCGCGUGAGUGAUGAAGGUCUUCGGAUCGUAAAGCUCUGUCGACAGGAAAGAUGGGUGUAUUGGCUAAUAUCCAAUGCACUUGACGGUACCUGUAAAGGAAGCACCGGCUAACUCUGUGCCAGCAGCCGCGGUAAGACAGAGGGUGCAAGCGUUGUUCGGAAUUAUUGGGCGUAAAGGGCGCGUAGGCGGCCAAGUCAGUCAACUGUGAAAGCCCA
rnacentral:rRNA from 1 species